CAGAGGCGAGUUUUGCAGUCUCCACGCACGAGAGGAGGAGCUGCUCCUCACGGCUGGAUGAGAUGUCCCACCCUGCACACUAAGGCCGUGUGGUGCCGUUGUAAAGGGCAGAGGGUGUGUGUGCUACCCAGAUGCCUCUUCCUUAGAGCAGGUGUGGAGCGCAGGCAUCUGGCCCGGUCUGCAGCAGCUGACAGGUGACAGCUGAGCAGGAUUCAGAGUUGCACUUCUCCAGGGACACCAGCCCACCACUACUGGGCAGACCCAUCGGCCGUCCUGGUACAGAACGACCGUGCUCUGCUGCCAACUCCGCCCACUGCCUUGUGACCUGAAGCCGCUUUCCCCAUCCUGUUUGCUCUGUUGUUCUGGGCAGAUUCCAUUCCUGGAAAGGCCUGAAGCAAAGCUCUGUGUGCAGGGUAGCAGUGCUGGGACCAUCCGGUAAGGAGCAAGCCCUGGUCCCAGGCCGGAGUGAGGAUUUGCUGUGAGCUGUGGGACCCAGGGCCCCUCUCCCUCGAGCCCUGCAGCUGCUCACGUCACCACACGGAGCCUCUCUGCAUGGAACAAAACUCCCUAUCCUCUGAGGGCUCCUGAUGCUAUCGUCUGUCUCACAGGAAACCCUGACGGAGGUCUGGGCAGGCCCGGUCUUUGUGUCCUCCGUGUCUGGGCCUGCUAAACACCACGUCUGAGAAGGGCUGCUGAACACAAGUGGAGGCCGCGUCCUAGGAGAGCAGUGUCCUAGAGGGCAGUGGGGCCUGCAGAGGGCCCUUCUCCCCAACAGCUUGUCUCCUUCUGCUGGGGUCGGGCUCUUCUGUCCGUCCUUGCCCUUUAGGGUGUCUGGGCUCUGCCAAGGCUGUGUUUGGCCUCUGUUGGUCACCAGCAUGGAGGACUCGCCACACUGGAGCAUGACUCUGUGUUCCAGGCCAUGGGCUACAAGAGGGAGAGGAGUGAGGACUCAGGGCUCUUGCUCUAGAAGUUCAGGGUCACUUGGACCAGCUUCCCAACCCUCCCCUAGUGCCGGCACCUGGGAAGCUGUGGCUGUCACUCUCUGACAGGGCAGGGUGGCAGGGAGGACCGAAACAGGCACAUAAUCACCCUGCUUGGAAAAAAUCACCGUGGCAUGGCUGUGUGGACCUGACACAAGGACGCGGCUCGCUGACCUCCCCAGUUGACCCGCCUACCUUUACACUGCCAUAGAGUUCCCUUGCCGCCCGGGGCUAUCCCUGUCUCCAAGGCCUCAGAUGUUGCAGUGGAGGGAGCGGCGAAAGGGCCAGAGGAGCUCAGGUCUUAUCCAUGGCACCAUGCACUGACAUGGGCACUGCCCGGGGCGUCCACUGUCUGUGUCCAGCUGCUUCCCAGGCUGCGCUCCUGCUGGCCAUGGGCCCGAAGACAGGGCUGAACCUUCCUACCUCUGACAGCUCCCACCUUGCAGGGCCAGCCAGGCUGCAUCCUCAUGGCCAGCCCAGCUUUGGGACCCUGUCAUGGCUGAGGCAGGAGGACCACAGCAAGUGUGCGGCCGGCCUGGGCUACAUGGCAAAACCCUGGCUCAAGAACAACAGCAAAAAACAGGUUUACCCAAACCACCUUGAGGAAAUUUGAAAGACAAAGCCACUAACUGAAGAGGGCUAUUUGCAAUGCUUAAGACAGACAGUGUAAUUACAUAAAAAGAAAAAGAAAGACCAACAGUGGCCCCUGGAGAAAUGGGCAGGGUCGCAGGUAGGCGUCGGGUGGUUUGGUCAACCCACCAAACUCCGUGGAGAUCGUCAGACGUCGUGCGCAUGAUGGGAGGCACAAACCUGGCUGCAGCGGGGGACCACUGCCUGCACCCCAGACCCGUGGGAACGGGGCACAGCAGGUUAAACCCCGAGAACUGUCCCACGCCGUCCUGAGGUUGAAGCCCUCGGGGUGCCCCUCGCAGAGCAGGCACCUUCCUGGGCCCCAAGAACAAGGGUGAAUGUGCUCAGAUGUCCCAGCAGCUCUCCGGGGAAAACAUCGGACCAGACACGGCUCUGUGCUUGUCACCAAAGGGGAGAUGGGUUCUUAGUCACACAGAAAUCCACUGUGACCACAACUGCACACCACCACUGUGGCGCUGCCUAGUGACUCAAGGCCAAGUAGAGCUAGUCUUUGAAGACACACAGUGAUGCCCUGUCCCCUGCAACUCCAAGCCAGGCAAGCCAGGCACGGGGCCACAGGCCUGUAAUCCCAGCUCUCAGGAGGCUGAGACAGGAGGAUCGCCAUGAGUUUGAGGCCAGCCUAGGGCUACGUAGUUCAAGGCCACUGGAGUACAUAGCAAGACCCUGCCUCGAAAACCCAAACAACAAGACAAAAUCAGGCAUAGCUAGCCAUGCACAUAUGUACUUCAGAAUGUUUAACAAGAAGAGAAAGCUGGAGCUCAGGGAGGCAGCAGGGUGGCUAGUGGGCUAGGCAGGAGGAGAGGAGCUCUCCUUGUGGUGGCCUCAGGUUAGUGGGGACAGGUGUCCCGGCAGGCUGUGCAGGUGGCCCUGGCUUCCAGGCCCCUUCCCCAAGCCUGUCCACAACAGGCCAGUUGGGAGGACAGUGGCUUGGCACCAGGGCAGUGGAGAACUGAGCUCAGAGAUAGGCCAGAAAACCCACAGAAAUAAGGCAGCAUUCUCAGGGCUUCCUAGGCUGAGGCUAGGCUUUCAAGUUGGUCCAUUUGGCAGGAGCUGAUGAGGAAAAGGGGUCUCAGGGGCUGGAGGCAGCAGCUAUCCAGUGCCACAGUUGGGGUACAGGGAGG
ensembl:lncRNA